UACAGAGGGUGCAAGCGUUGUUCGGGAUUAUUGGGCGUAAAGGGAGUGUAGGCGGCUUGUUAAGUCUUCUGUGAAAUCUACGGGCUCAGCCUGUAACGUGCAGAGGAAACUGGCGAGCUUGAGUGUCGGAGAGGAUAGGGGAAUACCCGGUGUAGAGGUGAAAUGCGUAGAGGUCCGGAGGAACACCAGUGGCGAAGGCGACACGCUGGGCCGUACCUGACGCUAAAGCGCGACAGCAUGGGGAGCAAACGGG
rnacentral:rRNA from 1 species